rnacentral:lncRNA from 1 species
UAGAAGUAGGUUUGAUAUGAAAUUGCUUGAGGUGUGAGGUGUCUUAAGAGGAGAGAAAAGAACAUAACAAGACACAAAGGCUUUAGGGAAGAAAGAAAGAAAAAGAAGAAAGAAAAUGAGAGAGAGAGAGAGAAUUAAAAAGUGAAGUAGGGAAAGAGAGGAAGCAAAGGGGUUUUGAGGUAGGCAAGUAACUUUACACUUGAUUAUUGAAAUGGGAGAGAAGUUAGAAGAAGGAGGAGUUGUUGUUAAGUAUUUAUGUGGUUUGAAGAGGGUUCACAUGGGGAAGUAAAAUAUAAAAAAUAUAAAUAUAAGUAAGGGAAUAGGUAGCUAGGUAGCAGCUAGCUUGUCUCUGACAUGUCCAAAUCAUAGUUUCCAUAAAGAAUUCACAGCAAACCUAAGCAUGUCCCCCUUCUUUCCUGCCACAUUGGUUUGUGAGCAUUUCAAUUUUGUCUAAGACAACCAAAGUACUAAUUUCUUUUUAAGUUCCUAUCAUGCCAUGGCUUUUCCAUUAUUGUUCCACCCUUAAAAACACCUUCAUGUUCAUGUUCAAUUAUUCAUGGGGAAGUACAUUCCAUCGAAAGUGAUGGACAUUGACUCUGCUUCCUCCUUUCCACUUUUUCACUAAAUCCCUUCUUUCUUCUCUUC